AUUGAACGCUGGCGGCAGGCCUAACACAUGCAAGUCGAACGAGAGGCGGACGGGUGAGUAAUGUCUGGGGACCUGCCUGAUGGAGGGGGAUAACUACUGGAAAAGGUGGCUAAUACCGCAUACUAUCGGAUGUGCCCAUAUUGGAUUAGCUAGUGGGGGGGGUAAAGGCUCACCAGGGCGACGAUGCCUAGCUGGUCUGAGAGGAUGAUCAGCCACACUGGGACUGAGACACGGCCCAGACUCCUACGGGAGGCAGCAGUGGGGAAUAUUGCGCAAUGGGCGCAAGCCUGAUGCAGCCAUGCCGCGUGUGUGAAGAAGGCCUUCGGGUUGUAAAGUACUUUCAGCGGGGAGGCGUUACCCGCAGAAGAAGCACCGGCUAACUCCGUGCCAGCAGCCGCGGUAAUUC
rnacentral:rRNA from 1 species